AAGGCAGCAGGCACGCAAAUUACCCACUCCCGGCACGGGGAGGUAGUGACAAAAAAUAACGAUACGGGACUCAUCCGAGGCCCCGUAAUCGGAAUGAGUACACUUUAAAUCCUUUAACAAGGAUCCAAUGGAGGGCAAGUCUGGUGCCAGCAGCCGCGGUAAUUCCAGCUCCAUUAGCGUAUAUUAAAGUUGUUGCGGUUAAAAAGCUCGUAGUUGGUUCUGCGUCCCACGAUGCUGGUUCACCGCCUGACGGUGCAACUGGCAUGCCGUGGGAUGUCCUGUCGGUGGUGGCCUUAACCCACGGCGUGUGUAGGUUUAUUCCGAAGCACGUCGUGUGUCGUCGAGGAUCGCCGAUCCAAUCCUGCCUCGGUGCUCUUUGUUGAGUGUCGAGGUGGGCCGACACGUUUACUUUGAACAAAUUAGAGUGCUCAAAGCAGGCUAAUUAUGCCUGGAUAUUGGUGCAUGGAAUAAUGGAAUAGGACCUCGGUUCUAUUUUGUUGGUUUUCGGAAUCCGAGGUAAUGAUCAAUAUGGACAGGCGGGGGCAUUCGUAUUGCGACGUUAGAGGUGAAAUUCUUGGAUCGUCGCAAGACGGACUAGAGCGAAAGCAUUUGCCAAGUAUGUCUUAGUUGAUCAAGAACGAAAGUUAGAGGUUCGAAGGCGAUCAGAUACCGCCCUAGUUCUAACCAUAAACGAUGCCAGCCAGCGAUCCGCCGAUGUUCCUCCGAUGACUCGG
rnacentral:rRNA from 1 species